CCUACGGGAGGCAGCAGUGGGGAAUAUUGGGCAAUGGGCGCAAGCCUGACCCAGCGACGCCGCGUGAGGGAUGAAGGUCUUCGGAUUGUAAACCUCUUUCAGUGGGGAAGAAGCGAAAGUGACGGUACCCAAAGAAGAAGCACCGGCUAACUAUGUGCCAGCAGCCGCGGUAAUACAUAGGGUGCAAGCGUUGUCCGGAAUUAUUGGGCGUAAAGAGCUUGUAGGUCGUUCAUCACGUCGGAUGUGAAAAUCUGAGGCUCAACCUCAGACCUGCAUUCGAUACGAGCGAACUAGAGUUUGGUAGGGGAGACUGGAAUUCCUGGUGUAGCGGUGGAAUGCGCAGAUAUCAGGAGGAACAUCAAUGGCGAAGGCAGGUCUCUGGGCCAAUACUGACACUGAGGAGCGAAAGCGUGGGGAGCGAACAGGAUUAGAUACCCUGGUAGUCCACGCCGUAAACGGUGGGCACUAGUUGCGGGGACCUUCCACGGUUUCCGCGACGCAGCUAACGCAUUAAGUGCCCCGCCUGGGGAGUACGAUCGCAAGAUUAAAACUCAAAGAAUAGACGA
rnacentral:rRNA from 1 species